GGAGAUCAUUCCAAAAGUCUUCCAGGAAAUCCCAGCCAAUCAGAGAGGAGGAGGAAGAAGAGUUUCUAGGUCAAGGUGUGCCCAGGGUUAGACCAGAGCCUGAGGUACCAAUACCACUUCAUGUCAUGCCGCGUCCUGCUACGCGGUCCAAUACCUCCAUCUAGUGGCUACUUGACGCCAGUGGUCCUUCUCCUGACACACCAGUCUACAAUCACCAAUCACCAUUCCCUGCUUCUGCCGGGGAUCUCCUACCAGCCGGCGCCAGUUCGUCGUUACGUCUACCCAGUUAGUAUCGGUCCUACCAGCAUUCUUGAACAUCUGUUUCGUAGCCUGUCCCCGUGCAUCUACAGAGCUGCACCACUCCUGGUCUUCCCUCCACCUACAGCUUCCAG
ensembl:lncRNA